rnacentral:rRNA from 1 species
UGUACCGCAAACCGUCACAGGUAGGCGAGGAGAGAAUCCUAAGGUGAUCGAGAGAACUCUCGUUAAGGAACUCGGCAAAAUGACCCCGUAACUUCGGGAGAAGGGGUGCUCUGUUAGGGUGCAAGCCCGAGAGAGCCGCAGUGAAUAGGCCCAGGCGACUGUUUAGCAAAAACACAGGUCUCUGCGAAGCCGUAAGGCGAAGUAUAGGGGCUGACGCCUGCCCGGUGCUGGAAGGUUAAGAGGAGCGCUUAGCGUAAGCGAAGGUGCGAAUUGAAGCCCCAGUAAACGGCGGCCGUAACAAUAACGUCCUAAGGUAGCGAAAUUCCUUGUCGGGUAAGUUCCGACCCGCACGAAAGGCGCAACGAUCUGGGCACUGUCUCAACGAGAGACUCGGUGAAAUUAUAGUACCUGUGAAGAUGCAGGUUACCCGCGACAGGACGGAAAGACCCCGUGGAGCUUUACUGCAGCCUGAUAUUGAAUGUUGGUACAGCUUGUACAGGAUAGGUAGGAGCCUUGGAAACCGGAGCGCCAGCUUCGGUGGAGGCAUCGGUGGGAUACUACCCUGGCUGUAUUGACCUUCUAACCCGCCGCCCUUAUCGGGCGGGGAGACAGUGUCAGGUGGGCAGUUUGACUGGGGCGGUCGCCUCCUAAGAGGUAACGGAGGCGCCCAAAGGUUCCCUCAGAAUGGUUGGAAAUCAUUCGCAGAGUGUAAAGGCACAAGGGAGCUUGACUGCGAGACCUACAAGUCGAGCAGGGACGAAAGUCGGACUUAGUGAUCCGGUGGUUCCGCAUGGAAGGGCCAUCGCUCAACGGAUAAAAGCUACCCCGGGGAUAACAGGCUUAUCUCCCCCAAGAGUCCACAUCGACGGGGAGGUUUGGCACCUCGAUGUCGGCUCAUCGCAUCCUGGGGCUGUAGUCGGUCCCAAGGGUUGGGCUGUUCGCCCAUUAAAGCGGUACGCGAGCUGGGUUCAGAACGUCGUGAGACAGUUCGGUCCCUAUCCGUCGCGGGCGCAGGAAAUUUGAGAGGAGCUGUCCUUAGUACGAGAGGACCGGGAUGGACGCACCGCUGGUGUACCAGUUGUUCUGCCAAGGGCAUCGCUGGGUAGCUAUGUGCGGACGGGAUAAGUGCUGAAAGCAUCUAAGCAUGAAGCCCCCCUCAAGAUGAGAUUUCCCAUUCCGCAAGGAAGUAAGAUCCCUGAAAGAUGAUCAGGUUGAUAGGUCUGAGGUGGAAGUGUGGCAACACAUGGAGCUGACAGAUACUAAUCGAUCGAGGACUUAACC